rnacentral:rRNA from 1 species
CGGUUGAUCCUGCCGGAGGUUACUGCUAUCGGAGUUCGAUUAAGCCAUGCGAGUCUAAAGGUUUCUUCGGAAGCCUUGGCGGACUGCUCAGUAACACGUGGAUAACCUACCCUUGGGACUGGAAUAACCCCGGGAAACUGGGGAUAAUACCGGAUAGAUCAGGGAUGCUGGAAUGCACCUUGAUCCAAAGCUCCGGCGCCCAAGGAUGGGUCUGCGGCCUAUCAGGUUGUAGUGGGUGUAACGUACCUACUAGCCGACGACGGGUACGGGUUGUGAGAGCAAGAGCCCGGAGAUGGAUUCUGAGACACGAAUCCAGGCCCUACGGGGUGCAGCAGGCGCGAAACCUUUACAAUGUGCGAAAGCAUGAUAAGGGAACUCCGAGUGCCAGUAUCUAAUACUGGCUGUCCUUGUGCCUAAACCGCACAAGAUAGCAAGGGCCGGGUAAGACCGGUGCCAGCCGCCGCGGUAACACCGGCGGCCCGAGUGGUAGCCGCUAUUAUUGGGUCUAAAGGGUCCGUAGCCGGUUCGAUAAGUCCUCUGGGAAAUCUGGUUGCUUAACAAUCAGACUGCCAAGGGAUACUGUUGAACUUGAGACCGGGAGAGGUAAGAGGUACUUCAGGGGUAGGAGUGAAAUCUUGUAAUCCCUGGGGGACCAUCUGUGGCGAANGCGUCUUACCAGAACGGGUCUGACGGUGAGGGACGAAAGCUGGGGGCGCAAACCGGAUUAGAUACCCGGGUAGUCCCAGCCGUAAACGAUGCUCGCUAUGUGUCNGUACGGUGUGACCGUAUCUGGUGCCGUNGGGAAGCCGUGAAGCGAGCCACCUGGGAAGUACGGUCGCAAGACUGAAACUUAAAGGAAUUGGCGGGGGAGCAC